UACGUAGGGUGCGAGCGUUGUCCGGAAUUAUUGGGCGUAAAGGGCUCGUAGGCGGUCUGUCACGUCGGGAGUGAAAACUCGGGGCUCAACCCCGAGCCUGCUUCCGAUACGGGCAGACUAGAGGUAUGCAGGGGAGAAUGGAAUUCCUGGUGUAGCGGUGAAAUGCGCAGAUAUCAGGAGGAACACCGGUGGCGAAGGCGGUUCUCUGGGCAUUACCUGACGCUGAGGAGCGAAAGCGUGGGGAGCGAACAGG
rnacentral:rRNA from 1 species